CUUACUGCAAGUGCUCUGUACAAUUUCAUUAAUGAUUUUGUAUUUUGAAACAGGCAUUUGUACAGGUUUUUUAAUGACUCCAGUUGGCAUUCGUGGCAGUUUUAAUCUGUGUGUCAUUCAUUAAAAAAACUACACUACGUUCAUUGCUUCUACAAUUUUGUUGCAUUCUCAUGUGGCAGGGUGAAAGAUUUAAGGAAGCAGACCAUUUUGUUUGCGAAAAGUUUCCUAAGAAGACUGCAUAAAUACAGGGUAUCCUUUGCACAACACAGUCUUAGAAAUUUCACAUGCUUAUUGCUCAAGAUCCACUUAACUGUGUGCUGGCCACUUCAUCCUCAGUGAUGGCAAAAAUGAAUGGCCUCAUGAGAGUGCUUUCUCGGGCAUGUUAUUCUUCUUUGGCAUCCCAAAAAUCACAUAAUCAAUGGGGCAUAGUAGGGGUGGAUAAGGAUUCAUGGAAUAACUCGCUUAUGAAAGGGGAGACUAGAGCGACAAGUAUGCAAUGGAUUUUUCUUGGUUGUCCUGGAGUUGGUAAAGGAACAUAUGCCAGCAGGCUUUCUCGUCUUCCUAGCCUUAAGAUGAACAUUAGCAAGUUGCAAAAUGUGUCCUCUUAAAUGUCAAUGGGUUCCUCAAAUUUACCGUUCUAUAUCAAAUAUCUUGAUUUCAAGCUAGAAGGAUAUACAAUUUUGAUUGGAUACUAAACAAUCUUCAAGUUAUUCAAACAACAUCGACAUUGAUUUUUGUGAUAACCAAAGUGCUCUCAAGAUGGUGAAUAACCCAAU